rnacentral:rRNA from 1 species
GCCUACGGGGGGCAGCAGUGAGGAAUAUUGGUCAAUGGUCGGGAGACUGAACCAGCCAAGCCGCGUGAGGGAUGAAGGUACAGAGUAUCGUAAACCUCUUUUGUCAGGGAACAAAGGCGGGGACGUGUCCCCGGAUGAGUGUACCUGAAGAAAAAGCAUCGGCUAACUCCGUGCCAGCAGCCGCGGUAAUACGGAGGAUGCGAGCGUUAUCCGGAUUUAUUGGGUUUAAAGGGUGCGCAGGCGGUCUGUUAAGUCAGCGGUCAAAGCCCGGGGCUCAACCCGGCCCGCCGUUGAAAACGGCAGUC